rnacentral:rRNA from 1 species
AGAGUUUGAUCCUGGCUCAGGAUGAACGCUAGCGGCAGGCUUAACACAUGCAAGUCGAGGGGUAUGCCGAUUUAUCGGCAGAGACCGGCGCACGGGUGCGUAACGCGUAUGCAAUCUACCUUUCACAGAGGGAUAGCCCAGAGAAAUUUGGAUUAAUACCUCAUAGUAUAAUGAUUUGGCAUCAAGACAUUAUUAAAGUCACAACGGUGAAAGAUGAGCAUGCGUCCCAUUAGCUAGUUGGUAUGGUAACGGCAUACCAAGGCGACGAUGGGUAGGGGUCCUGAGAGGGAGAUCCCCCACACUGGUACUGAGACACGGACCAGACUCCUACGGGAGGCAGCAGUGAGGAAUAUUGGUCAAUGGGCGCAAGCCUGAACCAGCCAUGCCGCGUGCAGGAUGAAGCAUCUAUGGUGUGUAAACUGCUUUUGUACGGGAAGAAACACCUCUACGUGUAGGGGCUUGACGGUACCGUAAGAAUAAGGAUCGGCUAACUCCGUGCCAGCAGCCGCGGUAAUACGGAGGAUCCAAGCGUUAUCCGGAAUCAUUGGGUUUAAAGGGUCCGUAGGCGGUUUAGUAAGUCAGUGGUGAAAGCCCAUCGCUCAACGGUGGAACGGCCAUUGAUACUGCUAGACUUGAAUUAUUAGGAAGUAACUAGAAUAUGUAGUGUAGCGGUGAAAUGCUUAGAGAUUACAUGGAAUACCAAUUGCGAAGGCAGGUUACUACUAAUGGAUUGACGCUGAUGGACGAAAGCGUGGGUAGCGAACAGGAUUAGAUACCCUGGUAGUCCACGCCGUAAACGAUGGAUACUAGCUGUUGGGGGUAACUUCAGUGGCUAAGCGAAAGUGAUAAGUAUCCCACCUGGGGAGUACGGGCGCAAGCCUGAAACUCAAAGGAAUUGACGGGGGCCCGCACAAGCGGUGGAGCAUGUGGUUUAAUUCGAUGAUACGCGAGGAACCUUACCAAGGCUUAAAUGUAGAUUGACCGAUUUGGAAACAGAUCUUUCGCAAGACAAUUUACAAGGUGCUGCAUGGUUGUCGUCAGCUCGUGCCGUGAGGUGUCAGGUUAAGUCCUAU